GGUUAAGUGAAUAAGGGCGCACGGUGGAUGCCUUGGCACUAGGAGCCGAUGAAGGACGGGACUAACACCGAUAUGCUUUGGGGAGCUGUACGUAAGCUAUGAUCCAGAGAUUUCCGAAUGGGGAAACCCAACAUCUUUUAUAGGAUGUUACGUUUGCGUGAAUACAUAGCGCAUUCGAGGUAGACGCAGAGAACUGAAACAUCUAAGUACCUGCAGGAAGAGAAAGAAAAUUCGAUUCCCUGAGUAGCGGCGAGCGAAACGGGAAAAGCCCAAACCAAUGAGCUUGCUCAUUGGGGUUGUAGGACUCCAAUAUGGUAGUUCUUUCAGAUAAUCGAAUGACUUGGAAAAGUCAGUCAAAGAGGGUAAAAACCCCGUAGAUGAAAUUUGGAAGGCACCUAGGAGGAUCCUGAGUACGGCGGAACACGAGGAAUUCCGUCGGAAUCCGGGAGGACCAUCUCCCAAGGCUAAAUACUCCCUAGUGACCGAUAGUGAACCAGUACCGUGAGGGAAAGGUGAAAAGCACCCCGGAAGGGGAGUGAAAUAGAACCUGAAACCGUGUGCCUACAACAAGUCAAAGCCCGUUAAUGGGUGAUGGCGUGCCUUUUGUAGAAUGAACCGGCGAGUUACGAUUGCAUGCGAGGUUAAGUCGAAGAGACGGAGCCGCAGCGAAAGCGAGUCUGAAUAGGGCGUUUGAGUAUGUAGUCGUAGACCCGAAACCAUGUGAUCUACCCAUGUCCAGGUUGAAGGUGCGGUAAAACGCACUGGAGGACCGAACCCACGUACGUUGAAAAGUGCGGGGAUGAGGUGUGGGUAGCGGAGAAAUUCCAAACGAACUUGGAGAUAGCUGGUUCUCUCCGAAAUAGCUUUAGGGCUAGCCUCGGAUUUGAGAAUGAUGGAGGUAGAGCACUGUUUGGACUAGGGGCCCAUCUCGGGUUACCGAAUUCAGAUAAACUCCGAAUGCCAUUCAUUCAUAUCCGGGAGUCAGACUGUGAGUGAUAAGAUCCAUAGUCGAAAGGGAAACAGCCCAGACCACCAGCUAAGGUCCCAAAAUAUAUGUUAAGUGGAAAAGGAUGUGGGGUUGCACAGACAACUAGGAUGUUGGCUCAGAAGCAGCCACCAUUUAAAGAGUGCGUAAUAGCUCACUAGUCGAGUGACCCUGCGCCGAAAAUGUACCGGGGCUAAACAUAUUACCGAAGCUGUGGAGUACACCAUUAGGUGUAUUGGUAGGAGAGCGUUCUAAGGGCGUUGAAGGCAGAUCGUGAGGACUGCUGGAGCGCUUAGAAGUGAGAAUGCCGGUAUGAGUAGCGAAAGACAGGUGAGAAUCCUGUCCACCGAAUGACUAAGGUUUCCUGGGGAAGGCUCGUCCGCCCAGGGUUAGUCGGGACCUAAGCCGAGGCCGACAGGCGUAGGCGAUGGACAACAGGUUGAUAUUCCUGUACUCGUUGUUUUUGUUUGAGCAAUGGAGGGACGCAGGAGGCUAAGGAAUGCAGACGAUCNNNNNNNNNNNNNNNNNNNNNNNNNNNNNNNNNNNNNNNNNNNNNNNNNNNNNNNNNNNNNNNNNNNNNNNNNNNNNNNNNNNNNNNNNNNNNNNNNUCGGAAAUGUCUGUCCAAGCAGUAAGUCUUGAUAGGAGUCAAAUGCUUCUGUCUACACGGAUAAGCUGUGAUGGGGAGGGAAAUAAUAGUACCGAAGUUCCUGAUGUCACACUGCCAAGAAAAGCUUCUAGUGAGAAAACAAUGACCCGUACCGCAAACCGACACAGGUAGUCGAGGAGAGAAUCCUAAGGUGAGCGAGAGAACUCUCGUUAAGGAACUCGGCAAAAUGACCCCGUAACUUCGGGAGAAGGGGUGCUGAUCUUCGAUCAGCCGCAGUGAAUAGGCCCAAGCGACUGUUUAUCAAAAACACAGGUCUCUGCAAAAUCGUAAGAUGAAGUAUAGGGGCUGACGCCUGCCCGGUGCUGGAAGGUUAAGAGGAGUGCUUAGCGUAAGCGAAGGUACGAAUUGAAGCCCCAGUAAACGGCGGCCGUAACUAUAACGGUCCUAAGGUAGCGAAAUUCCUUGUCGGGUAAGUUCCGACCCGCACGAAAGGCGUAACGAUUUGGGCACUGUCUCAACGAGAGACUCGGUGAAAUUUUAGUACCUGUGAAGAUGCAGGUUACCCGCGACAGGACGGAAAGACCCCAUGGAGCUUUACUGUAGUUUGAUAUUGAGUGUCUGUACCGCAUGUACAGGAUAGGUAGGAGCCGUAGAAAUCGGAACGCUAGUUUCGAUGGAGGCGCUGGUGGGAUACUACCCCUGCGUUAUGGCCACUCUAACCCGCACCACUGAUCGUGGUGGGAGACAGUGUCAGAUGGGCAGUUUGACUGGGGCGGUCGCCUCCUAAAAGGUAACGGAGGCGCCCAAAGGUUCCCUCAGAAUGGUUGGAAAUCAUUCGAAGAGUGUAAAGGCAGAAGGGAGCUUGACUGCGAGACCAACAAGUCGAGCAGGGACGAAAGUCGGGCUUAGUGAUCCGGUGGUUCCGCAUGGAAGGGCCAUCGCUCAACGGAUAAAAGCUACCCUGGGGAUAACAGGCUUAUCUCCCCCAAGAGUCCACAUCGACGGGGAGGUUUGGCACCUCGAUGUCGGCUCGUCGCAUCCUGGGGCUGUAGUCGGUCCCAAGGGUUGGGCUGUUCGCCCAUUAAAGCGGCACGCGAGCUGGGUUCAGAACGUCGUGAGACAGUUCGGUCCCUAUCCGUCGCGGGCGUUGGAAAUUUGAGAGGAGCUGUCCUUAGUACGAGAGGACCGGGAUGGACUUACCGCUGGUGUACCAGUUGUUCUGCCAAGGGCAUUGCUGGGUAGCUAUGUAGGGAAGGGAUAAACGCUGAAAGCAUCUAAGUGUGAAGCCCACCUCAAGAUGAGAUUUCCCAUUUCUUUAAGAAAGUAAGAUCCCUGAGAGAUGAUCAGGUAGAUAGGUCAGGAGUGGAAGGCCAGUGAUGGUUGGAGCGGACUGAUACUAAUCGAUCGAGGACUUAACCAA
rnacentral:rRNA from 1 species